UGGGGAAUUUUGGUCAAUGGGCGCAAGCCUGAACCAGCAACGCCGCGUGGGUGAUGAAGGCCUUCGGGUUGUAAAGCCCUGUCGGGAGGGACGAAACCGUCGUUUAACAAACGGCGCUGACGGUACCUUCAAAGGAAGCACCGGCUAACUCUGUGCCAGCAGCCGCGGUAAUACAGAGGGUGCAAGCGUUGUUCGGAAUUACUGGGCGUAAAGCGCGUGUAGGCGGCGUGCCAAGUCUUGUGUGAAAGCCCUGGGCUCAACCCAGGAAGUGCGCAAGAUACUGGUGUGCUGGAGUGUCGGAGAGGAUGGCGGAAUUCCCGGUGUAGAGGUGAAAUUCGUAGAUAUCGGGAGGAACACCUGUGGCGAAGGCGGCCAUCUGGACGAUAACUGACGCUGAGACGCGAAAGCGUGGGUAGCAAACAGG
rnacentral:rRNA from 1 species